CUUGUCACGUUGUUACACGAUGCUUCCAACAGUGCGACAAGACAGUUACUGGCAACAAGCAUAUAUUGCACUUGGUGCUAUUAUUGCAUGCAGCAUUAUCUAGGUCUAUUUAACCAUAGAGCUAUUUUCUCUAUGAUUUAAGGGACAGAACUGGCAUUCCUUGUAACUUGACAUGCGGUACUGUUUAUGAAUCGUUGACUAUUACACUAUUGUAUAUUCCAUUUAUUUCACUUACAUUUAGGAUGUUGGAUAUAACGACCGGUGUAUCUUUACUAUUAGUAGCAGGUGUCUUGUUAAUAACAUGGAUGUACAUGAACAUACGGAGGCCAACUGGAAUGCCAUCUGGUCCAACGCCCUACCCUAUCAUUGGAAAUGUUUCAGUAUUUAUGGGCAAAACACCACCACAUGAAAUAUUCAGAGAAAUGUCGAAGAAGUACGGACCAAUAAUUUCUUUCAAAGUUGGACCAAACUGGGCUGUGGUGAUAAACAAUUACGAACUGACACAAGAAGCCUUGCUGUCGAAACCAAACGAUUUCAGUGGACGUCCAAGUCUCUAUCUUUUGGAUUGGAUCACUGACAACCAAAAGGACAUUGUUCUUGCUCAACCAACUCCAAUCUGGAAGUUUCACAGAAAGCUAGCUCACUCAGCUAUCAGAAAAUACGCAACUGGUGAAUAUUUGGAGAAUCUUAUAAGGGAAAUUAUACCACGUAUACAGGGCGUCAUGACGCAGAAGGCUGGGACACCUUUUGAUCCACAUGAAGUCAUUACACUCGCAGUCUAUAAUGUAAUCGCUUCAAUGUGCUUUGGCCAUAAGUAUGAAUUCAACGACCCUGAAUUACGUCGAAUCAUCGAGUUACAAAAAGAAAUGAAUGAAGCAUUUGGAAAUGGUACCCUUGCUGAUUUCAUUCCUAUAGUCCGUCAGUUAAUAAGUUUAAAAAAUUGGCAAUAGAAUCCUCUAUAAUGACUGAAAAAGAAGUUAGUCAGCAUUUAGAAAGAUAUAGUCCAGAUGAGCCUGCUAAUGAUCUGAUAGAGCUACUUCUACAAGCACAGAGAGAAGAAUUACAAGGAAAUGAUGAUGAAACAUCUAGAAAAUUGACAGACGUACACAUCAAGCAAAUUGUGGAUGAUCUUUUCAGUG
rnacentral:misc_RNA from 1 species